rnacentral:rRNA from 1 species
CAGUCGCCGCGGUAAUACGGAGGGAGCUAGCGUUGUUCGGAAUUACUGGGCGUAAAGCGCACGUAGGCGGUUAUUCAAGUCAGAGGUGAAAGCCCGGGGCUCAACCCCGGAACUGCCUUUGAAACUAGAUGACUAGAAUCUUGGAGAGGUCAGUGGAAUUCCGAGUGUGGAGGUGAAAUUCGUAGAUAUUCGGAAGAACACCAGUGGCGAAGGCGACUGACUGGACAAGUAUUGACGCUGAGGUGCGAAAGCGUGGGGAGCAAACAGGAUUAGAUACCCGAGUAGUCCCUGUCUCUUAUAC